CCUACGGGAGACAGCAGUAGGGAAUCUUUCACAAUGGGCGAAAGCCUGAUGGAGCAACGCCGCGUGCAGGAUGAAGGCCUUCGGGUUGUAAACUGCUUUUAUAAGCGAGAAAUAUGAUGGUAACUUAUGAAUAAGGAUCGGCUAACUACGUGCCAGCAGCCGCGGUCAUACGUAGGAUCCGAGCAUUAUCCGGAGUGACUGGGUGUAAAGAGUUGCGUAGGUGGCAUAAUAAGUAGCUAGUGAAAUCUGGUGGCUCAACCAUUCAGACUAUUAGCUAAACUGUUAAGCUCGAGACCGUUAGGGGUAACUGGAAUGUCUAGUGUAGGAGUGAAAUCCGUAGAUAUUAGAAGGAACACCAAUAGCGUAGGCAGGUUGCUGGGACGGUUCUGACACUAAGGCACGAAAGCGUAGGGAGCAAACGGGAUUAGAUACCCUUGUAGUC
rnacentral:rRNA from 1 species